UCUACGGGAGGCAGCAGUGGGGAAUAUUGGACAAUGGGCGAAAGCCUGAUCCAGCCAUGCCGCGUGUGUGAAGAAGGCCUUCGGGUUGUAAAGCACUUUCAGUGGGGAAGAAAGCCUUGGGGCUAAUACCCUCGAGGAAGGACAUCACCAACAGAAGAAGCACCGGCUAACUCCGUGCCAGCAGCCGCGGUAAUACGGAGGGUGCGAGCGUUAAUCGGAAUUACUGGGCGUAAAGCGCGCGUAGGCGGUCUGAUAAGCCGGUUGUGAAAGCCCCGGGCUCAACCUGGGAACGGCAUCCGGAACUGUCAGGCUAGAGUGCAGGAGAGGAAGGUAGAAUUCCCGGUGUAGCGGUGAAAUGCGUAGAGAUCGGGAGGAAUACCAGUGGCGAAGGCGGCCUUCUGGACUGACACUGACGCUGAGGUGCGAAAGCGUGGGUAGCAAACAGGAUUAGAUACCCCUGUAGUC
rnacentral:rRNA from 1 species